rnacentral:tRNA from 1 species
AAGGAUUUAAGUUAAAUAAACUUCUAGCCUUCAAAGCUAUAAAUAGGGUCUCCCUAAGCCUUA